AAGUUGUAUAGGUUGCGGUCAUUGGUCAAAAGGCUAAUGAAUUGUUAAGUGGGUUAGCCAGAAAAGCACCUUGAAUUGUGAAAGCUGUAUCCUGCAGGGGACUCAAAGCUUGAUAGAUCAAGAACGAUCGAUGGUUCGGUCCAAUGUAUCGUGAUCUUUCUAGUCAGAAUUGCAAUUAAUACGUGUCUGGAUGGUGCCAUAGCUAGAUUUCCAGUCUGCUGCAGUGGGAAACGAGAAGCUAGAGUUAGUGGGAGGAAGCUGUCAUAUCAUAUAUGAGCUGUAACCCUUUUUUCCAUUCACAGAUCAUAAUGGUUUGGUUCUUAUAUAUGCCUAAAACCAUAGCCGUCUUAUGCUUUUGCACAAUGUCAAAGCUCAAAACUUAAUUCUUUGCAUGUUUUAUGUUUGAUUUGGAAAAUAUGGGUCCCUAUUUUAAUUAGCUACUCCAUCCAUUAUUCACAUCCACCACUAUCUGAUUAACUUCCAAUAUUUUGUUCUUCUUUACAGACUUUCCUCUCCACUGGCAUAACCAAUACUACUAAAUAAUAAUAAUCUGUCUUUGCUUUUACUAAUUAGUGGUAACGGAGAUGAAGCCUACAACACCGACUGAAGAUAUUGAUCAUGUUGUUGGCUGAUGGGAUUUCAUGGUCACCAAAGGCUAUCGUUGUUGGGGAGGGUGCGAGAAAGGUGCAAGCCCUCUUGCAGCUGCGUUCAUGGUGGUUGGAGCGGUUAUGGUUUUCAUGGAUCACGGUGCUUGGAAAUUUUCUGGGUUUGAUUUGAAAUCGAAGCUAUGAAAGUCAUUCUCCUUGUUAUUAGUUACAAUUGUGAGAUGAUGCUACAAUGGAUUUGAGGAGGAUAUUAAGGCUCCAUUUGUAGCGAUCGCGAAGAAUCGGGGGCUAAUGCUAGGACGUUGCUGAUCACUCGAUCAGGUUCUCUAAUUCCCGAUCAUCUCUUAUGUUUUCAAUGGGAAAGAUCCAAAUAGCUGACUCAAAAUAGUGGGUUUUAAGUUUUUUUUUUUUUUAAAUCAAAGUUGCUCGCUGUAUAGCUUUGUCUAGAUUUAAUUAGACUUAGCUAUUAAGUUUGUAUCAAAAAAAUAAAGAGAAAUUAUUUUUGCUUAGCUAACAAUUAAAACAAAUAAAUAUUAUUAAUAAGGG
rnacentral:lncRNA from 1 species